CCAGGUCACACGAGGCCCUGCAGUGUCACAAGGGCCCCUUGGUUCUGUGGAGCCCACAGGGUCAGUUUUGCCAGUGGGUAGGGUCAGCACCAAAGACACAGACACCAACUGAAGGAAUUGUGUCAUUUAUAUAAGAUCCACACAGCAGCUGGGGGAAGCUGUCCCAGCCAAGGGCUGCAGAGCCACUCCUGGACACUGGGAAUUCCUGCAGGUGCCUCCAGCCACAGGUGAGGCUCCAAUCUCGCUGUGAGAGGGCCCAGCUCUGACAGUGCUGAAUGAACAAACUGACAGCACUUCUAGUGUGGGAACAUAUGGUUUCAUCCUCCUCUUGGGUUCCUCCCAAAGCCCGGCCAGGGCCAGAUGGGGCCUUGUCUGAUUUUUAAAUACAGAAAGGUAAAUCCACAUUUCACCAAUGAACAGAUAGAGAUCAUAUUGCUAAUAAAGAUUCAUUAAUGAGCAGAUACAAAGAUAAGCUUUGGUUGGAAGUUUCAUCUAGAGCUCAGGUUUGCCUCAGGGCCUGUUGUUCAGGCCACAUACAGGACCUGGUGUUGAGGCCUCAGGACAUCAAUCAGUGCUUUGACUUACAGAUGAUGAACUGCAACCUUCAUAACAAUUCUUUGGAUAACAGAGUUUAGAUUUAGCUAUUAGGCAUAAAGACAUCAGCUCUUGUUCUUCAAUUAAGUGUUGUUCAAGUUCAUUACUCAGAGCUAUAAUUUGCCUUCCAUUUAAAACAUCCCCAAUUAGUUGCUAUUCUCCAUUAUUUUAUCAAAUGUCCCUUUUUUCUUGAGACUGUGUCUCUUUUUAGACAAGACUCAGUACUCCGUUUCCAGCACAGAGUGCCACAACAACUCUAAAAUGAAAUCAUAACACACCAAGUGCUCAUAUUGCAAUGACGUGACACUGCCAAAAAUUAAUUUCACAGUAGCCUCCAAUUUGGCAGCCAUGAAGCCAAUGCCACCAAGAAAAAUUUUCUUCUUUCUGCCACUCUUCUACUGCCUUUCCUGUCAAGCUGAUUCCUGACUGUUGGCCUUCAAACCCAUCACUGAGAGCAGUACAACAUUCCUUUCCCAUGAGAGCCCAGGUUCCUCGCUGGCCAGCAAGCAGAUAAUCCCAGUCUGUGUGUUUCUGUAGAGCCCCAUUUGUGUUUGUUGGAGCUCCUGGGAUGUGAGAUUGGACAUUUUAACAGCAUCGUUUGCUAUUUCUUCUAAUAAUUGAUUUAGCUCAUUACUGUAAAAUCUGCAGAAUGGGGUAGUACACAUGGGGCACAGGUUGAACCAGAAUCUUUUGGUUUUCUGAGACCAAAUGCACCCCUUGGGUGGAAAAUGUUCUCUUGGCCCCAACUCUUCCUUGUGAUCGUUGCUGAAGGACCCUCAAGGGAGGCAUCAGCAUUGCCUGGAAACAGGACCCAAACCAUCCUUUAGGAAGCUAUUUAUGGGCAGUCUCCACACAGCCAGCAGCUUCCAUUCUCAGUACCAAAGGUCUGAUUUCCUAUUUCCCACUGUGGGCUGCUGAUGGAUGCAGGGCUCUUCCCUGGGCCCUCCAAGGGAGCCCCAUUCCUCCCAAAAUUGGUUGAGAGCAUAUCCAGGAAUUAAUUACAUUGAGUAUUUUGGAUACUUUGAUCUUAGCAUUCUCAAGAAUUUAAUGACUAAUCCUUGGUGAAACUCUAAAGGUUUUUGUGGCAAACAAAGAUUCUGGCUGACUAUCAAGAUACAACUUGCAGACAUCAAUAGUACUUUAGUGACACUGUUCUUCGUUCUUUUUCCUCGGUCUCAUUUGGGUUAGGAACAAUAAUUCGGUCGUCCAUGGAGGUGGCACUGUGUUAAUUUCAGAAUAAUGCCCCCAAGGUCCUUUGCUGUUCAGCUUUAGCACGGUGUCUGUGGCUAACAAGGCUUGGUGGGGCCCUUUCCCCUUGGGCUGGAAGGGGGCCGGGUCCCAGUCCCUGAGGGCACCCAGGCUCCUGGAUGGAAUUUGUGUGCAAGUCCCUCAGUGUCACAGCAGCCUUCACAUGGAGCCCUGUGGAUCAGAGCAUUUUCCAAAGGAGCCGUUGGGGCAAACAAGGAGAUUUGGUCUGGCAGGAUGUGUAAAACAGUAUCCUGUAAUAUCUACUUGUUCUGCAGGGACAUAUUCCCAUUGUUCCUGGCCAGGUUUCAGGAUUCAAUGUUGUCUUUCCUAGGAGCUGUUCCUUCAGCUGCCUCAGGAGGGCCUUUUGGCCUCCGGGCCCACACUCUGGCUCCAUUGUUAGGACUGCUGCAUCCAAACCCUUUAUCUCCACAAAUGGUAAUGACUGGAGGUGGAACUCCUUUUUUCACAAUCGUGCUUAAAAUUGCAAUAUCAAUAAUUGUGCUACCCUGUCAUGGGGUUGAAUAACCCAAUCUUAUUGACAAUUGUUUAACAGAAUUACUGUAAUUUCUCCUUUAUAUUCAGCACAAAUUCCUCCUUUCCUCCUGCCAUGACAUGAACAUUUUGCAAGGCCAAGCUCCAAAUGAGCAGUUACCAAACCAAAGAGUCCUGGAGGAAUCAGAAUUCCUGUCUCACUAUAGAUAGCUUUCAUUUGCUUUGGAUUUAUCCUAAUUAAUGGCAAUGCAUGAAGGUCCAGCCCUGCAGCCUCUGGGCUGGCCCUGCCAGGGGCCAUCACACCCACAACAAUUUCCCAGGCAGUGCAAGCCUCACUGUUCAUGGUUGUAGUUGCAAAUUGGGUGCAGCUGUGCACAGCCAGGGGGUUUCCAUUUCCCCAGUGGGCCAUUGUUAAGGGUAUGGAGCACACCUGGGAGAUGGGUUCUCCAUGGGGACAGGUUCCCAUCUCCUCAUUUUUUCAACUGCUCUUUUAACAAAUCCUUCACCUGUUCAACAAAUCCUGCAGCUUGAGGAUAGUCUGUUACAUGAAAAACCCUGCAGUCUUAAUCACGGUAUUUUCCACAGUAACAGACAAAGCACUCUGAAUCACAGCAUCAGCAAACCCUGUAAAAAUAAACAAUUUCAUCCCCUCCUCCUUUUUUCAUUGUAUACAAUCUCACAAAGUUUACCUCUGACAUUAGGGUCCUGGCCAAUCCUUUUCUGUAGAGUAUUUAGUGUUACAUCCCUGAGCAGCCAAAGCUACCAAAUUAGUAUUGUCAGCACUAUUUCACAUUAUUACAAUUUUAUACGUAGAUAUAGAUAUUGAUAUAGAAAUAUAGAUAUAGCUAGAUAGGUAUAGACAUACAUAUAAAAUAUAUAUAUAUCAAUAUAUAUUAAGGCCUGAUUAUACUAUAAAUAUGUACAUAGUUAUUUAUGAUAUUAAUAUUUCACUUGCACAAAUGCAUCGGAGCUCAAGAUUAAAACCUUCUUCUUGCUCCAUGUGGGAGCAUUCCAACAAGAAUUGUUCCUUCUGAAGGUGCUGUUUUCAAUGUACUGUUAACAAAUUCAUCUUUGUCUGCCCAAACCCACAAGUUCUUUUCCUUUUCCAUAUGCAAUUUUUGGAUACAUUUUAAGACAUCCAGGGGUUUAGCUUCUUUUAACCAACUGCCCCAGUGCUCACACAGUGCUGCGACCUCAGCCCACUCCAGAGCCAGCCAACUCCAGGGAAGGGCUUCCCAUCUGGGAAUUUCUGAUGCCACUGAUUCCUCACAUUUACAUUUAACAAGUGACAUUUUGCUGUGAUCUGGCCAGACUCUGCCAGUUUUGUUUUACCAGCGGGCAGGGUCAGCACCAAAGACACAGACUCCAACUGAAGGAAUCAGUGUCAUUUACUGCAGCUCAAAGCAGCAAAGAAUCACAAAAGGAGCAGUUCAACAAUGCACCCAAUCAUCAGCACCAAAGAUUGCAGCAGUGAUUAAGAAAGAUCCAGCACCAGUGUCCCUCAGACUUUACCAUCCCCCAGAUCCACACAGCAGCAGGGGGAUGUCAUAGCCAAGGACUGCAGAGCCACUCCUAGACACUGGGAAUUCCUGCAGGUGCCUCCAGCCACAGCUGAGGCUCCAACCUUACUGUGAGAGGGCCCAGCUCUGACAGUGCUGAAUGAACAAACUGACAGCACUUCUAGUGUGGCAACAUCUGGUUUCAUCCUCCUCUUGGGUCCCUCCCAAAGCCUGGCCAGGGCUCAAGGAGGAACCAAAGGAGCUGACUUUGAUCCUUCAGCCCCAAACAAGGCCAGAUGUCAGAUUUCAUGGCCUUGUCUGGCUUGCCAAUACAAAAAGAUCAAUACGUGUGUCACUAAGGAGUGGCUACAUCUAUCACAGUGCUAAUGGCAUGCAUAUUUCAUCAGUGAGCAGAUAGAAAGAUAACCUUUGGUUGGAAGGUUCAUCCAGAAGUCACCUUUGGCUCAGGGCCUGCUGUUCAGGCCUUGGCACUUCAGGGACGUGGUUUAGUGCUGGGCUUGGCACUGCUGAGUGAACGGCUGGACUGGAUGAGCUUAGAGGUCUUUUCCAACAGAAAGGAUGCUGUGAUUCCAUUACUAUAUCUGCUGCAUUCAGCUAGGUCUAUUUGAGCAGCAUUACUUUGCUCCAAAAGUUCCCUCUUGCUCAGCUCCUGUGGCCUGUGGUGACAGUUCCUUCAGCUCCUGGUGCUAAGCUGCUCAUGUUGAAUGAGACGACUCGGAGAGAUGAAUACAGUCCAGUUUCUUCUGGGACACAGAGAGGAGAGGGUGUGGAAACAGGAGCAUUGUUUGCUGUGGCCUCCUCUCUGCACU